rnacentral:tRNA from 1 species
CCGUCGAUAGCUCAGUUGGUAGAGCGGUGGACUGUAGAUGACCAAAUGCGGAUAUCCAUAGGUCGCUGGUUCGAAUCCGGCUCGACGGA